rnacentral:rRNA from 1 species
AACGUAGGAGACAAACGUUAUCCGGAGUUACUGGGCGUAAAGGGCGUGUAGGUGGUUUCGUAAGUCUGGCGUGAAAUUUUUCGGCUUAACCGGGAAAGGUCGUCGGAUACUGCGGAACUAGAGGACGGUAGAGGCGUGUGGAAUUCCGGGUGUAGUGGUGAAAUGCGUAGAGAUCCGGAGGAACACCAGUGGCGAAGGCGACACGCUGGGCCGUACCUGACACUGAUGCGCGACAGCAUGGGGGAGCAAAACGAGG